UACAGAGGGGGCAAGCGUUAUUCGGAAUUAUUGGGCGUAAAGGGCGCGUAGGCGGCUUGGCAAGUGGAUGGUGAAAUCCCUCGGCUUAACCGAGGAACUGCCGUCCAAACUGCUUUGCUUGAGGCCGGGAGAGGUGAGUGGAAUUCCCAGUGUAGCGGUGAAAUGCGUAGAUAUUAGGAGGAACACCAGUGGCGAAGGCGGCUCACUGGACCGGUACUGACGCUGAUGCGCGAAAGCGUGGGGAGCAAACGGG
rnacentral:rRNA from 1 species